ensembl:antisense 2700069I18Rik RIKEN cDNA 2700069I18 gene
ACCUACAAAGAGGGUGUCUCACCGAAAGAUAGCUAAAACCUCUCCAGAACGGCGCACGGAACUGUGGAGACACAGCGGAAGGAAGGCUCCUCUGGAGCCUCAUAUCUGGGCCGAACCCUAGACCCAGCGCUUCAAGGAGCCCCUCGCUUGGAUCACAGACUGUGAAUUUCUUGAUGGGCAGAAUGAUGGGCAACUCCAAAGCUGAGACUCCAGCUCAGUGACUGACAUAAAGUAUGAACAAUCCAGAAAUAGCCUUUGCUGAGAGUUCUUUCACUUCCUGGCGCGGAUUCAAGUUUUCUCCCCAACUUACCUCAGCCUUGACAACAUCACGUUUUAGUACUAAAUGACGAGCUGCUGUUUGGGAUGCUGUUAAUGCAUUAACUUAACUUUUGAAUGACAUGAAUUUUUCAAAAAAAUUUAACAUUAUGAGUAAAAGUGCUAUUUUUUUUUCCAAGACAGGGUUUCUCUGUAUAGUCUCAGCUGUCCUGGAACUCACUGUGUAGACCAGGUUGGCCUCAAACUCAGAAAUCUGCCUGUCUCUGCCUCCCAAGUGCUGAGAUUAAAGGCAUGUGCUACCACUGCCAGGCUAAAAGUACUACUUAUGAUAAUGUGUGACUGUAGGUUUUCAAUUCCUUUGGAUAAAUGCCAAGGACAUGUUUGUUGGAUAGUAUAAUAAAUGUAGUUAGCUUUCUGUGAAACCUACAAGCUAUCUUCCAAGGGGAUUAUCUUAAUCCCCACCAGUAAAGAAUGGCAGUCCCAGGUCCUACAUUCAAUUAAUACCAAUAUUCUGAAAUUUCAGCUUCAUUUGGUAUUUCUUCAUAGCUAUCAUUCUCCAAACAGAUGUCAAGGUCCUGUGGAAUUUUAUCUGUUGAUUUUUCAUGUGUGUAUUUCUUUGGUGGCAUAUCCAUUCUAAUCUCUGAUUUAAUUUAUAAUUGUGGUGUCUACUUUCUUCUGAGUUUUAUGCCUUUUAAAAACUACUCUGCUCGUGCUUUAGUGUCUUAUUCACAUAACAGUGUUUUUAAAA